CUACGGGCGGCUGCAGUGGGGAAUAUUGCACAAUGGAGGAAACUCUGAUGCAGCAACGCCGCGUGGAGGAUGACACUGUUCGGAGCGUAAACUCCUUUUAUAUAGGAAGAAGAUGACGGUACUAUAUGAAUAAGCGCCGGCUAACUCCGUGCCAGCAGCCGCGGGUAAUACGGAGGGCGCAAGCGUUACUCGGAAUCACUGGGCGUAAAGAGCGUGUAGGCGGAUUAAAAAGUCAGAAGUGAAAUCCUAUAGCUUAACUAUAGAACUGCUUCUGAAACUCUUAAUCUAGAAUAUGGGAGAGGUAGAUGGAAUUUCUGGUGUAGGGGUAAAAUCCGUAGAGAUCAGAAGGAAUACCGAUUGCGAAGGCGAUCUACUAGAACAUUAUUGACGCUGAGACGCGAAAGCGUGGGGAGCAAACAGGAUUAGAUACCCGCGUAGUC
rnacentral:rRNA from 1 species